GACGAACGCUGGCGGCGUGCUUAACACAUGCAAGUCGAACGGAAAGGCCCUGCUUUUGUGGGGUGCUCGAGUGGCGAACGGGUGAGUAACACGUGAGUAACCUGCCCUUGACUUUGGGAUAACUUCAGGAAACUGGGGCUAAUACCGGAUAGGAGCUCCUGCUGCAUGGUGGGGGUUGGAACGUUUCGGCGGUUGGGGAUGGACUCGCGGCUUAUCAGCUUGUUGGUGGGGUAGUGGCUUACCAAGGCUUUGACGGGUAGCCGGCCUGAGAGGGUGACCGGCCACAUUGGGACUGAGAUACGGCCCAGACUCCUACGGGAGGCAGCAGUGGGGAAUAUUGCACAAUGGGCGGAAGCCUGAUGCAGCAACGCCGCGUGCGGGAUGACGGCCUUCGGGUUGUAAACCGCUUUCGCCUAUGACGAAGCGUGAGUGACGGUAAUGGGUAAAGAAGCACCGGCUAACUACGUG
rnacentral:rRNA from 1 species